rnacentral:rRNA from 1 species
UACCAGCACCCCGAGUGGUCGGGACGUUUAUUGGGCCUAAAGCAUCCGUAGCCGGUUCUACAAGUCUUCCGUUAAAUCCACCUGCUUAACGGAUGGGCUGCGGAGGAUACCGCAGAGCUAGGAGGCGGGAGAGGCAAACGGUACUCAGUGGGUAGGGGUAAAAUCCUUUGAUCUACUGAAGACCACCAGUGGCGAAGGCGGUUUGCCAGAACGCGCUCGACGGUGAGGGAUGAAAGCUGGGGGAGCAAACCGG